CCUACGGGGGGCUGCAGUAACGAAUCUUCCGCAAUGCGCGAAAGCGUGACGGAGCGACGCCGCGUGCAGGACGAAGUCCCUCGGGAUGUAAACUGCUGUCAGGGGCUGCCAAGACCUGAGGAGCCCCAGAGGAAGAGGCGGCUAACUCUGUGCCAGCAGCCGCGGUAAUACAGAGGCCUCGAGCGUUAGGCGGAAUCACUGGGCUUAAAGCGUGUGUAGGCGGGCCGUUAAGCGCCCCGUGAAAUCCCCCGGCUCAACCGGGGAACGGCGGGGCGGACUGGCGGCCUUUGAGGGACCUAGGGGCGAGCGGAACAGGCGGUGGAGCGGUGAAAUGCGUAGAUAUCGCCUGGAACGCCGACGGUGAAAACAGCUCGCUGGGGGUCACCUGACGCUGAGACACGAAAGCCAGGGGAGCGAACGGGAUUAGAUACCCCAGUAGU
rnacentral:rRNA from 1 species